ACGGGCUCAUAUUGAAACCUAGUGAUGUAUGAGUUAGUGGCGGACGGGUGAGUAACGCGUGGAGAACCUGCCGUAUACUGGGGGAUAACACUUAGAAAUAGGUGCUAAUACCGCAUAAGCGCACAGCUUCGCAUGAAGCAGUGUGAAAAACUCCGGUGGUAUACGAUGGAUCCGCGUCUGAUUAGCUGGUUGGCGGGGUAACAGCCCACCAAGGCGACGAUCAGUAGCCGGCCUGAGAGGGUGAACGGCCACAUUGGGACUGAGACACGGCCCAAACUCCUACGGGAGGCAGCAGUGGGGAAUAUUGCACAAUGGGGGAAACCCUGAUGCAGCGACGCCGCGUGAGUGAAGAAGUAUUUCGGUAUGUAAAGCUCUAUCAGCAGGGAAGAAAUACUGACCUUACGGUCAGCAGACGGUACCUGACUAAGAAGCCCCGGCUAACUACGUGCCAGCAGCCGCGGUAAUACGUAGGGGGCAAGCGUUAUCCGGAUUUACUGGGUGUAAAGGGAGCGUAGACGGCAGCGCAAGUCUGAAGUGAAAUCCCAUGGCUUAACCAUGGAACUGCUUUGGAAACUGUGCAGCUGGAGUGCAGGAGAGGUAAGCGGAAUUCCUAGUGUAGCGGUGAAAUGCGUAGAUAUUAGGAGGAACACCAGUGGCGAAGGCGGCUUGCUGGACUGUAACUGACGUUGAGGCUCGAAAGCGUGGGGAGCAA
rnacentral:rRNA from 1 species